CAGCCGCCGCGGUAAUACCGGCGGCCCGAGUGGUGGCCGCUAUUAUUGGGCCUAAAGCGUCCGUAGCCGGGCUGGUAAGUCCUCCGGGAAAUCUGGUCGCUUAACGAUCAGACUUCCGGAGGAUACUGCUGGCCUAGGGACCGGGAGAGGCCGAGGGUAUUCCCGGGGUAGGGGUGAAAUCCUGUAAUCCCGGGAGGACCACCUGUGGCGAAGGCGCUCGGCUGGAACGGGUCCGACGGUGAGGGACGAAGGCCAGGGGAGCGAACCGGAUUAGAUACCCGGGUAGUCCUGGCGGUAAACGAUGCGGACUAGGUGUCGGGCAAGCUAAGGGCUUGUCCGGUGCCGCAGGGAAGCCGUUAAGUCCGCCGCCUGGGGAGUACGGCCGCAAGGCCGAAACUUAAAGGAAUUGGCGGG
rnacentral:rRNA from 1 species